AGAUGUAAGGGUGAUUUGUCUGCGAUAUCUGUCACCUCACUGAUCACCAGGGUUGAUUCAGCUGAUCUGACAGGCUACGUGGGUGUCCCCUUUCUUCCCUUAACACUCCAUAUUCAUUCCUUCCAAAGCUCUAUGCUCAAUAUAAGAAGACCUUCUCAGAUAAAAGUGUACCUUCUUUUGGUCAAAGGUGUACAAUAUCUGCAGUCCCCUACUAGAACCUCCAAACAAGCUCAAGGUCCUUUCUCAGAUUCAAAUAUACUAUGUUCAUAUACCAAGGUAAGAUCAUCAGAU
rnacentral:snRNA from 1 species